UCCGGUUUGGCACCGGCAGUACCCCUAGAGUCCCCGACUUUACGCUGGUAACUAAGGGCGAGGGUUGCGCUCGUUGCGGGACUUAACCCAACAUCUCACGACACGAGCUGACGACAGCCAUGCAGCAUCUGUGCUGGAACUCCGAAGAGGGGCUCACGUUUCUGCAAGCUUUCUCCAGCAUGUCAAGCCCAGGUAAGGUUCUUCGCGUUGCGUCGAAUUAAACCGCAUGUUCCACCACUUGUGCAGGUCCCCGUCAAUUCCUUUGAGUUUUAAUCUUGCGAUCUUACUCCCCAGGCGGAAUGUUUAAUGCGUUAGCUGCGGCACUGAGAUCUUACGACCCCAACACCUAACAUUCAUCGUUUACGGCGUGGACUAC
rnacentral:misc_RNA from 1 species